AACAAAUGUUGAAAAAUAUUAUACAAACAUCAUUAUUUUUGCAAUUUGUUUGUCCUAUAAGAACAGAAAAAGAUGGAGUUUGUUCAACUGAACGUGAACCCAUAAGAUGUUGCACCGACUACAAACAAAUCAAAGAUAAAUGCAUUGCUUGCAAUGGUAGUUUUGGAGUUCAUUGUUCUCGAGACUGCCCUGUUGGUUAUUGUGGUCAUAAAUGCUUAACAAAGUGUGAUUGUGAGGACUGCAAUAGUCAUAACUGUGCAUGUCCUGCUGAUACGACAUCAAUUCGAUCUUCUAAACAGGAC